rnacentral:misc_RNA from 1 species
AGUUUAUAUGCAUUCAGGCAGAAAAACCCAAAAUACAAGAAAAACCAACAAAAGAAGAAAGAUAUGGUCACAAAAAUGAAUCAAUAAAACAACUGAGUAAAGUGGGUGCAAUUAAAGCAAGCUAACUGGUAUCCAUAUAGCAAUGUUAUAACAUAAACAACAUGAUCUUUUCUAGUUUAGGUAUGAAUCCUAAGCCCUUCUAGUUUACUGUUCAUGGUUGCCAUUCACAGUGCCAGGCCUCCACUUGAUAAGCCCUAGAAAACUGUCUUUUCUCAUGCUGUUUAACUCUCAAAUCAUACUUGAUAACGAAAAACCCACAUUUGUAGUUUUCUUACCCAUAUCCAGCCCUAAAGAGCCAAACCUAGUACCUAUCCUGUUCAUCUAACCAUCUAUUUUAAUUCGCAGAGAUAACACAGAAUUCCAAUUUCUAAAGUUUACAUCUGCCAAUAAUCAAAUAAGAUAAAACGGAAAUAACUUCCAACUACGCCAAACAAGAAAAACAUUAGAAUCUAUUGGAGCAAUUGUUUUCUAUAUCUUAAUCCUAGUCUUGAAAGGAUUUUCUAAACCAAAAAAAAAAGAACAUUUUUCUAGCAUCAAAUCAGAUCAACAAACAAGAAAAUGGACCAAAAAAAACCCACAUAAUAAUAAAUUAGGUUAUACUUCAGUUGUACUACGGCCAGUUUUCACUCUGUUUUUAAGCAAAUUAACUAAAAACGAUUAGAGCAUAAUAAUAAUAAUAAUUCAACUGCGUUCAGUAACUAAAGAUAUUCAGAUUUAUUAGUUGUUACGAUUUAACUUCAAAAUCCUCUCCAUUUCCAAAGAAUUUCUCAACAGCCAAACAGACAACUAAACUAACGACCAAAACAAUUCAAGCACAAAGGAAAAUCCAGAA